rnacentral:lncRNA from 1 species
AGCAACUUUCUAGAACCUAUUGACGUAUGGUUACCGUAUAAUUUAUCUCUUUGACCCAAAUGUUCAAGGUGACCAAGGAUUUAACUGUCAAUCCUAAUUAAGUCGAUCACAUUGUAUUUCAACCUUUCAAAUCCAUCUCAUGGAUUACUCUGGUUAAGAUUUUGUUAAAUUAAAAUACACUGAUGCAUAUCUCCUAUCAAUUCAAAGGGGUCAAUUCCAUCUUGACUCACACACCGACUUGAUAAAUACUUGACUGCAUCCAGUAUUCUUUCGUCACUAAGUUAGAAACUUAGAUGGUCCAGUACUAAAGACAGUGAGUUGCUUACAAGUCACCGUGGUGGUCUC